rnacentral:rRNA from 1 species
GACGAACGCUGGCGGCGUGCUUAACACAUGCAAGUCGAACGGAAAGGCCCUGCUUUUGUGGGGGUCUCGAGUGGCGAACGGGUGAGUAACACAUGAGUACACUGCCCGUGACUGUGGGAUGACUUCAGGAAACUGGGGCUAAUACCGGAACGAAGCACGUGCUACAUGGUGGGGGUUGGAAAGUUCCGGCGGUUGGGGAUGGACUGGCGGCUUAUCAGCUUGUGGGGGGGGUAGUGGCUUACCAAGGCUUUGCAGGGUAGCCGGCCUGAGGGGGUGAACGGCGACAUGGGGACUGCGGUACGGCCCAGAGUCCUACGGGAGGCAGCAGGGGGGAAUAUGGCACAAUGGGCGGAAGUGUGAUGCAGCAACGCUGGGUUCGUGAUGACGGCCUUCGGGUUGUAAACCGCUUGCGCCUGUGACGAAGCGUGAGUGACGGUAAUGGGUAAAGAAGCACCGGCUAACUACGUG